CACGUAGGCACCAAGCGUUAUCCGGAUUUAUUGGGCGUAAAGAGCUCGUAGGCGGUUCGGUAAGUCGGGUGUGAAAACUCUGGGCUCAACCCAGAGAGGCCACCCGAUACUGCUGUGACUAGAGUGCGGUAGGGGAGCGGGGAAUUCCUGGUGUAGCGGUGAAAUGCGCAGAUAUCAGGAGGAACACCAGCGGCGAAGGCGCCGCUCUGGGCCGUAACUGACGCUGAGGUGCGAAAGCGUGGGGAGCAAACAGG
rnacentral:rRNA from 1 species